UGGGGUUCGUAAAGUUCUUCAGGCCAAGAGAAACCCGAAGCAGGCGAGCAGGAGAAACCUCAAGUGAGUGGCUUCUGCAGCGGUCCCUUUCAAUUCUGAGAUUCUGGGAUAAGCCGCAGGGUGGGAUUGGAGGCCAGGCCCCAGCUCCAAACCCUGUGCUUCUUGCUCUAAACUGCCAUGGACUACAAAGCCUUUGGAUGGUGAGGGAGGGGCUAGGGAAUGUGGCUCUACCGUUUUUCCAGGGUUCUGGCCUCAGACUCUAAAAGUUAAGAUUCCCAACCUGUGUUACUAGACCCCCUUUAGCAGUGGGGAAGCCUGUGAACCCAUUCUCAUAGUCAUGUUUUAAAAUGCAUGAAGUAAAAUCUGUAGGAGGACGAAGGAAAUCAACUGUAUGGAAAGAAUUAUCAAAAUAUUUCUAAAAACCAAAUUCAUAACCCCCCUGAAAUCCGAGCACAGACUUCAUGUAAACCCGGCUCUAAAGGCUGGCUGGGAAAGACGUCUCCAGGUGGUGCGACAGGCACGGUUCCGCUGGCGAUGGUCCCAGCUUCCCGGUGGGUGCUCCAGGCUGCAGAGAUGAGCAGGAGGAAGAACUCUGCCUGAGGGCCAGCCUCUUGCCUAGGACGUUCUGGCCAGCACCUAAAGGAGGACCCAGCCACAUCUUGUCCUCAGUGGUCUUGCUCAAAAAGACUGUUCCCGAGGUAAACCACUCAGUGCGUUAUUUCUACCAAUAAAAUACCAUACACACAUG